UACAGAGGGGGCAAGCGUUAUUCGGAAUUAUUGGGCGUAAAGGGCGCGUAGGCGGCUUAGCAAGUCGGAAGUGAAAGCCCUUGGCUCAACCAAGGAAGUGCUUUCGAAACUGCUGAGCUUGAGUAGUUAAGAGGAUCGCGGAAUUCCCGGUGUAGAGGUGAAAUUCGUAGAUAUCAGGAGGAACACCGGUGGCGAAGGCGGUUCUCUGGGCAUGUCCUGACGCUGAGGAGCGAAAGUGUGGGGAGCGAACAGG
rnacentral:rRNA from 1 species